UACGUAGGGUGCGAGCGUUAAUCGGAAUUACUGGGCGUAAAGCGUGCGUAGGCGGUUCGUUAAGUUCGUUGUGAAAGCCCCGGGCUCAACCUGGGAAUGGCAAUGGAAACUGGCGGGCUGGAGUAUGGCAGAGGGGGGUGGAAUUCCGCGUGUAGCAGUGAAAUGCGUAGAGAUGUGGAGGAACACCGAUGGCGAAGGCAGCCCCCUGGGUCAAGAUUGACGCUCAUGCACGAAAGCGUGGGGAGCAAACAGG
rnacentral:rRNA from 1 species